GCGCUGCAUUAGCUAGUUGGUAAGGUAACGGCUUACCAAGGCAACGAUGCAUAGCCGACCUGAGAGGGUGAUCGGCCACACUGGAACUGAGACACGGUCCAGACUCCUACGGGAGGCAGCAGUAGGGAAUCUUCCGCAAUGGGCGAAAGCCUGACGGAGCAACGCCGCGUGAGUGAUGAAGGUCUUCGGAUCGUAAAACUCUGUUAUUAGGGAAGAACAUAUGUGUAAGUAACUGUGCACAUCUUGACGGUACCUAAUCAGAAAGCCACGGCUAACUACGUGCCAGCAGCCGCGGUAAUACGUAGGUGGCAAGCGUUAUCCGGAAUUAUUGGGCGUAAAGCGCGCGUAGGCGGUUUUUUAAGUCUG
rnacentral:rRNA from 1 species